CGCCCACUCCGCAGAGGAACCAGGAAGAGGGAAAAGGAACGUCCGCGUCUUCAAUUCCUUCUGACUCUUCAGCAGCGCCAGAGACCUACGAACGCGAAUGUCAGUGACUGACUGAAUGAGAAGUGACUCACUGAGCUGCACACCAUCGGCCGAGUGUUGGACUCGUUUGGCGCGGACGCUAUACCUCAUUGUAUUCGGGCGGCAGCCGACAGAUGAUCUGGGAAAGUGACAACAGCACUCGGACAAAGAAUCCCCUUUUCACGAGGUCACAUUCACUGAACCAAACCGGGUUGAGCCAGUUGACGGACCGACCGACCGACGAGCACCAUCCCCGAGCUCUGCACAUUCAACAGCACGGAUGAUGACCUCCAGGAGAUUGUGUGUUUGAAGACGCCCGGUACCGGUCCAAUCCGCAGCCCGGCCGGGACGCUGCAGUCCGCGAACACACUGACGGUGGUCGACGCCCGGGUGGCUUGCAUGGCGUGGGGUGAGAUCAGAACCAUGAAGGCUGAUGGAGACCGAGUAUACAGCGGGAGAGAGCGCAGGGAAAUGAGGAGGGAGAGGCGGCGGAUGCACGAGAGGAGGAGGAGGAGGAGGAGAGGAUGAUGAGGACCGGCCGAUAUCCGCCCUCAGAGUGAUGCUGUGGCGUUGGGCUCCCCGGCUUUUCUAGUGAUGGUGCAAAGGCAAGGUUGACAAAAGGCGCAGGAAAGUUUAGAGGACUUGUUAACUCCCAUUGACUCUCGGCGUGUGCCGGGUUGCGAUCAGGCAGGUACUGAAAACCACCAGUAGGAAGGAGAAGGAGGAGGAAAAGUAACUUGAAAUAACCAUCGCCAUCUUCCCAACACGCACACUCUAACUCUCUCUACCACACACACACACACACACACACACACACUCUCACGCACACACUUGUGGUUGUCUGUCUCAUCGUCCUCGUUCAACACAUGUUCAGUCUGUUGUUUCAUACAAGGACGAAGGGGAAAUCAAA